GAUUGAUUCUUAACCUAUGAAGCGUUCUCCUCAGUUCUCACUUCUUCGCUUCUUUCCCAUGACUCAGUCUCCAUUAGCAGACAGUCGAGCUCGAGCACCAAACUAAGACACCAGCCACACCGCCGCUCUCAAACUAAUAACCAGUCACUUUUUUGGUGCUUUCCCACGAUUUCUUCUUCUUCUCUUUCUCUUCUUCAAGUUUAAUCAAGCAAUAAACUAAGGCUAGAAGUUACUUCAUAUUAUAAAGGUUACCGUUACAACCUCCUGUGGAAUACCCAAUUUCUACACCUGCAAAGUGUAUUCAUUGUAACAAACUAUUUCCUGUCGACCCUUUUAGGAAUGAGACCUCUAUGUUGAUUUUCCAUCUAAAGAUGUGUAGUCAGUUAUGAUUAUGAAUUUUUGAUGUUUUUUUGUUUUUGUUAAAGGAGAAACUAGACUCUUUAAAAUUUAAUGCUUCUAUCAACAUGUAUUGGAAGUUGGAACAUUUUAUGUAUUUGAAACUUGAGUGACAGGUUCAGAAAAAUUUGCCUUUUAA